UAACUCCCUUAGUAACGAAGCUAACGCGUGAAGUUGACCGCCUGGGGAGUACGGCCGCAAGGUUAAAACUCAAAGGAAUUGACGGGGACCCGCACAAGCGGUGGAUUAUGUGGAUUAAUUCGGUGCAACGCGAAAAACCUUACCUACCCUUGACUUGUAGUGAACCUCGCAGAGAUGUGAGGGUGCCCGAAAGGGAACGCUAACACAGGUGCUGCAUGGCUGUCGUCAGCUCGUGUCGUGAGAUGUUGGGUUAAGUCCCGCAACGAGCGCAACCCUUGCCAUUAGUUGCUACAUUCAGUUGGGCACUCUAAUGGGACUGCCGGUGACAAACCGGAGGAAGGUGGGGAUGACGUCAAGUCCUCAUGGCCCUUAUGGGUAGGGCCUCACACGUAAUACAAUGGCCGGUACAGAGGGCUGCCAACCCGCGAGGGGGAGCUAAUCCCAGAAAGCCGGUCGUAGUCCGGAUUGUUCUCUGCAACUCGAGAACAUGAAGUCGGAAUCGCUAGUAAUCGCGGAUCAGCAUGUCGCGGUGAAUACGUUCCCGGGUCUUGUACACACCGCCCGUCACACCAUGGGAGUGGGUUUCACCAGAAGUAGUUAGCCUAACCGCAAGGAGGGCGAUUACCACGGUGAGAUUCAUGACUGGGGUGAAGUCGUAACAAGGUAGCCGUAUCGGAAGGUGCGGCUGGAUCACCUCCUU
rnacentral:rRNA from 1 species